rnacentral:lncRNA from 10 species
AUAAUGUUUUAGAAAAGAACUAAGGUUGCAAAAUGCAGAAGGACAAGGGACAAGGGGAUUGCAAAUACAUGCAACAGAAUGAUUAUAAUGAUAGCUCAUAGAAACCAAAGCAGGUAAUGAGAAGAAUGAAGACAUAAUGGAAAUGACAAUCAGCAGCAAGUCAAAGGAUUGAAGGAAGUUCAGACACAGUCAAGUUAACCUGGUCCUCUCCUCUGCAGAAAAGGUGGGUCCCCGACAAAACCCCACCCUCAAGUCUGAAACCAUGACCCAAAGUGAGAACUUACACCUCUGCUUUACUGUUCUACUGUUGCCUUUUUCCUAAACCAUCCAUGACCCCUCCUCCCAUCCUGUGCCUGUAAAAACUGGCAGAGAGGAAGGUAGCUGGACAUUGAAGCCUACGGUUGGAUGUCAGAGAGAAGCGGCUUGACUCUAGAAAGACAGCUUGGUGGCAUAACUUCGGAGAAGAAUCUGGUCAGAGAUGGUCGGAAUUCAGGGGAAGAUGAUCAUCCUGCCCCAUCCCCUUUUCAGCUCCCCUUCCCAUUGAAAGCCACUUUUAUCAGCCAUAAAAUCACCUGAAUUUACCAUCCUUCAAUUCAUGCAACCUAAUUUCUCUUGGACUCCGGACAAGAGCUCGGGAGACCCAAGUAUGGAUACAAAAGGCAGAGGGCCCAUUGAGCUGUUAACAUUUAAGCAGUCCACGGAUGGCAGAGCAAAAAAAGCACUGUAACACUCCCUCUGGGGCUUCCGGGGUUGCAGGCACCUCCCCCAGAUGCUACCGCGGGGCCUGCACGGAGUUUGCUCCUGCCGCCGCCCAAAAAUGCUUGCCCUGACUCCUGCAAUGGCUCACCUGUGCAGCAGGUCCCAGUGAGUGGAGUUCGGCCCUGCUGGCGUUGAAACAGCUGGCUGCUUCCAGCGUUCAUGCACUCCAGUUUCACGAGGAGUUGAAAACUGCAGUCUAGGGGGCAGACCUGUAAUCCCACUACUUUGAGAGGCCAGAGCAGAAGGAUUACUUGAAGCCAAGAGUUCAACACCAGCCUGGGCAGCAAAGUGAGACCCCAUCUCUAUUAAAAAAAUAAAAAGCAAAUAGGAUCUUCACAGAUAUAAUCAAGUUAUUCCUUAUAUAUACACAGGAUUAGAGUGAUCCCUAAUCUAAUGCCUAGUGUCCUUAUAAAAAGAGAAAAAUUUGCACAGAGAAACUCAAACAGGAGAAGACCAUGAGAGAUGGAGGUGGAGAUUGUAAUGAUGUGUCUACAAACCAACAAAUACAAAGGGUUGCUGGUGAUCACUAGAAUCUAGGAAGAGGCAAAGAAGUUUCCUUUCUUAGAGACUUCAAAGAAAGCUUUGACUUGCCGAGACCUUGAUUUCAGACUUUUCGCCUUUUAAGAGUGAGGGGAUAAAUUUAUACUGUUUUAAGCAAGAUAAUUUGUGAUAUUUUGUCACAGCAGCCCUAGGAACUGAUACACCUGCCAAAACAAACAUGUUUAUAAAGUUUUGACUAUUUUUUGCAAUUAUGUUAAAUGAACUACACUGUGAAAUAGACAAAAUUAAUAUUACUGUACUACUUCUUCUUAUUUGACUUUUUAUAGAAGAAAAUUAUAUCUACUCUAAGGGACAUAGACAUCCCCAAAUAUGUUGAGAUGAAUAUUAUUCCUAUUUGUGAAGUUUGAUAUUGAUAAUAAGAACAAUGUCAGACAUGUAUUUGCCAACUGAGUGCAACUUUUGCUCAAUCAUAUGUAUAUAUGUUUAGAGGCUAUUAUUCCUUAAUAUUAUCCUCACUCAGUCUUUACCUAAUUCAUGGUGUAAUGCCCAGCUUUUUUUCCAUAUGCUUAGCAGGACAAUCACUGUUGAGGGACUGAUUUUUUCCUCUGCUUUUGCACUACAUAUCUAAACUGGCUAGUUUUAUUUCUGCUACCAGGCUUGUGGUUACACCUUUUUACAUAUGACUACAUUUUACCUAAAAUUAAAAUAAAUUUUAAUAGAGAAUGAAAAAUUUCUUC